rnacentral:tRNA from 1 species
CGGGGUGUGGCGCAGUUGGUUAGCGUAUCUGCUUUGGGAGCAGAGGGUCCUCCGUUCGAGUCGGAGUACCCCGA